rnacentral:sRNA from 2 species
AUAUUGAUAGCGCUUAAUCAAUAGAGCGGGAGAACCAAAUUCAGGGGUGAAUCUUAUUAUUAAGAUAAGUAGGGUUAAUUUUCUUCAACCCGAAUCCGUCAGCUAAUCUCGUAAGCGUUGAAGAGAAGUUUG